rnacentral:lncRNA from 1 species
ACCCCAUUAAGAUUUAGUCCUCUUUUCUUUCAUACACCUCUUUUGGAAUCAAGAUAGAGUCAGCAAAGCUCAAAAGAAAAGUGUCGAGCAAAAUAAUAGAGUCAGAAAAAUUUCAAAAACAAUAAAAGAGAAGAAAAAGAAAAUAUGUCCAAAAAGAAAGAAAAGAAAAGAGUGUCGAGAAAAAUAGAGUCAGAAAGUUUCAAAGAGAAAAAGAGUCAAUAAAAAAAAUAAAAAAAUCAAAAUCAAGCAAAAGAACAAGCUGCCAG